rnacentral:tRNA from 4 species
GGAGAGAUGGCUGAGUGGCUUAAAGCGGCGGUCUCGAAAACCGUUUUCCGCUUCUGCGGAACGCAGGUUCGAAUCCUGCUCUCUCCG